CGACGAGCUCGACUACGCGACUGAAGCCGACCGGAUGACGUGGAUUUUAUCGCUCUAGAUUGGAGCCGAACUGUUCCACGGUGAAAAUUGUACAAAAAGUCAACGCCUGGUUAGCGAAAGGUCCAAGGAAAGGUCGAGGAGAUAGAACAAACAAUAGUGAUUUUUGAGAAAUAGAAAAAUGCAUCAAUAAUUAUAUUUGUAUAUAUUUCUUCGUAAAUAUAUAGGCGUUCGCAAUGUACGACAUGUUUUACAAUCGGUAUUCAACAGUGUCGGGACAAUGUUUUUUCGCGGGCAGUGUUUUUUUUUUCUUUCAUCCAUCUUGUGUAACACUAUACAUUGCUUUAUCAGAGCAGGAAAAAAAAAAAAAAAAAAAAAAAAAAAAAACAAUUUAUUACGAGUGCACUUGUUUUUGCGAUAAAAAUAGCGUUCGGCAAAAUUAUGAAGGAUUAGUUACUUUCUUAGCAGCUUAUAUUAUAUAGCGAUGAUAAGUGGAAGUGUUCGCGCGCUUUGUCGCCCUCGUCGCACAUGCAAAGAAAUCGUUUCUCUCUUCCUUCAUUUUGCAGGUGUUCACUCUCUUUAUUCUUCUUUAUGUUUCCUCUUUUACAACGUACAUUAGAAAAUACAUUACGCUUCGUAUAGUAUAUAAAAUCCAAUCGGUAAAAGAUUAAAAAAAAAAAAUAAUAAUAAUAAUAAUUAUAUUAAAACUAAACGGGAUUUAGAACUUAUAUAUAUUAUAUCUAUGUACGCGAGAGAGAGAACUCGCAUCGCGCAUUAUAAAAAGGCAUUCGGUUUAGUACCGUCAAUACAUUAUAUAUUUGUGUAUGUAUAAAAUCGAAGUGUUAAAAAUUGUGAUUAAAAUUUCGAAUCGAUUAUGGUGGUGUUUUAAAAGAGCGAUUUUUUUUUUUUUUUUUUUUAAUGCGGUCGGUAAAAAGGGCACGGUUUUAUAUACGCACUUUUGGCAGAACUUUAUAUCGUUCGAUGUGUUUUUUUUUUGUUUUUUUUUUUAUACAAAUGUACAAUAUCGUUAAAAUUAUCGGCGCGUGAUCGGCAGAGGAGAUAUACACAGAUUCUCAAAUACCACAACUCGAACCAUCGUUUGUUUUUCCCAUGAGACUUCUUUCUACUGAGAUCAAAAUUACAAUAUAAAGGGUGCAGCGUAAUUAUGAUACGCACUUCUGCGCGAAGAUGAAGUACAUUUGAUAUAAAAAUGAUAUGUAGUGUAACGCCCGUUAAAAACUGGUAAAAUAUAUAUAUGUAUAUAUUAUAUAUCAAGGCGAAAACGUGCGUCGCAGAGCAAUCGUUCGUUCGUCGCUAAAAAGAGACUAUCCAUUUGCGAUUAACUUCGUUCGGGAAGAAAAAAAAAGAUUGCAAGUAAAUGCAACAAUAAAGUAACUGUCGAUAUUGUAUCAAGCGAUGGUUUUCCAGAGGACUGGAAAAUUCCCUCGGUCACGCACCCUUCGAUGAGGCGAAGAGAGAGAGAAAGAGAAAACUUAACGAUUAAGCAACAUUGAUAAAAAAUAUAUUUUCAACGCGUUUCUCUUCCCAACCACACGUCAUGACCCUCGACGGAUCAAUCCAUUCCUAUUUGAAGUUCGCCACGUGUUUUUUUUUUGUUUUUUUUCUUUUUAAUCUCCUUAUACACUUGUUCGGUGUAAAAUAUAUAAUUCUACUUAAGUAGCUACUUGUUUGUUGUUCGGAGCAUCUUCCGUAUCGCAACACAGAUUGCGCGAUUUGUUCGCAAUAAAAAAAAAAUAAAAAAAAAAAAAAAAAA